UUGUGUUUCAGUUUUGUUAGUACCAGACAGGUUGCAGCAGGACCCAGCCAUAGGCCAGCAGAGAGCAGGGAGGAGCCUUAGAGAAGAGUGCAUGAGGUUCAUAAAGGACAAAUGGAGUGUUUCUCUGCUGGCCCAAGACCUGCUGGUUCUGUGCAGUGGUCAGGGGAUGCUGUCAGAAGCUCUUGAGAGUGGCAAUGGCAUGGCUUCCAAAAAGACAAGUUGAAAAUACAACUACAAGGUGAGACUGUCAGGCACCAUCAGCCCAGGAGCCUAUCCGUCUGCCUGUUGCCAUAUGCCACCAAUGUGGUUUGCCUGCUCUGUGGUGGACAUCUGUGGACCAGCCAUGGUAGAAGCACUGGGAAAGGAUCCUGGAGAGAUAGGUGUCUAAUAUUAACAGAAGAAGAAGCUGAAGAUGAGAGGGAUUUCUCUUGCCUAAAGUUCUAUGCAAACAUCCCGGUGCCACCAUCCUCUGGGCCAGGCCUAGGGAUGCCAAGACAAAGACACCACCCUGCCUCUAGGACCUAAUGGUCUAUUGAGGGAGGCAGAUGCGUAAAACAGCAGAUUCACAGAUAGGUUUUGAACAGAGAAGGGAGUGUCAGAGCACAGUGCCUGAGCAUCAGCAGACAAAGGGAACAGAGAGGCUGUGGACAGCAAGAGAACCUCUCCCACGACACCCUUUUGCCAAGGACAGGCCCAGCAAACAGCCUAUGUGGGAGACAAGGCUUGCAGCCCAACAAUGAACAAAGGCUGUCCAGGGCUCUCUGGCAAUAGAAGAGAUCUGACAACAGCCCAGAAGGCCAUUUGAUUAGUGUAGACAUUCCUUCUAGACUUUGAAGCUUGAAGUGCUCUCCUUUAGCUGUCUACACAGAUCAAAUGGGCUGGAGGACUGCCAUAUCUCAACUUCGCUUUAUGCUGAUCCACAGUCACACUUAGCUCCACAACAAUCCGACCAAGCCAUCUGAGCAGAAGCAAAAAUAAUUCCCAUAGGCAAAGAUAGACAGUUCCAAGAUGUGCACAUUAACUCCUUGCUGCCACUUUGUGGGGAGGAGAUCUUGAAGUUACUUUUAGGUUUUCAAGAAGGGAGACUCUGUCCCUCUCCAAAGUCAAAUGGUAAAACUGUUUUCUCCCCUUACAUUUUACAGCCUUUCCUAUUCUAAGGCCCAUGCAGGAACAACCACAGGUGUUGACAGUAAUUUGCUGUGGUCUGGCUCUCAUACAGCCUGCCUCCCCCUAAACAACAGAGAUCAUCCCACCUCAAAAGCCCCAUUUUAUUCACAGGAUCAUUAUAGGGGAAACCUUACCCCAGCCCCCUCUGUCCUUAAGCAGCCACCAGGAGCUCCGGAAAUCCUCAUCACAUAUUGGCAGGACCAGGCAUCUCACAACAAACCCAGAAGCCAAGUGGCAUCGCUAAGAAAGAUUAAAAAUCGACGUGAGUUCUAACAUCUACGUUCCUAGCUGUGGUUUCCAUGGAAAUAGACAUCUGCUCCAGGAGAAAGAAAAGGUGGGGAGAAGCUGUGUAAGUGAUUUAAAAUAAUCAGUGUUUUGAAGGAUUUAUUUUUUUCUGUCACAACAUUAAUAGUCAGA